CUGGUGGUGGGCCAAGCUGUAGCGAAAGAGAAGGCUUUGUGGUGGCGGGCGGCGGCUACAGCUGGAGCUGGCGACGCAUCCUCCUCGUCCGACGAGGUAUCACCUAAUUCCCAGCUUGUUCUCCCUCAUCUGGCCUGGCGCAGGUAGAAGCACUAUCGCACGUAGUGCCGCCACUUCAAGCAGGGCCGUGCCGCCACUUCAAGCAGGGCCACUUCAAGCAGCGCCGCCCUUCGCUACCAAGAACCCGACCUAUGAGGCUGUGAGGAGUACUACAAGGUAUUGCCGCUUGCUUCAG
rnacentral:lncRNA from 7 species